AGCGUUAUCCGGAGUGACUGGGCGUAAAGAGUUGCGUAGGCGGCUCGUUAAGCGUGAAAUGAAAUUUAUCGGCUCAACCGGUAAACUAUUUCGCGAACUGACGGGCUCGAGAGUAUGAGAGGUUACUGGAAUUUCUAGUGUAGCAGUGAAAUGCGUAGAUAUUAGAAAGAACGCCAACGGCGUAGGCAGGUAACUGGCAUACAUCUGACGCUGAGGCACGAAAGCGUGGGGAGCGAACCGGAUUAGAUACCCGGGUAGUCCACGCCGUAAACGAUGAAUGUUAAUUGUCGGAGGUAUCGACCCCUUCGGUAAUAAAGCUAACGCGUUAAACAUUCCGCCUGUGGAGUACGGCCGCAAGGCUAAAACAUAAAGGAAUUGACGGGGACCCGCACAAGCGGUGGAGCGUGUUCUUUAAUUCGAUGAUAAACGAAGAACCUUACCAGGGCUUGACAUCCCUAUAACCGAAAUACGAAAGUAUUUUUUCAUUUAGUUGGAUAGGUGACAGGUGAUGCAUGGCCGUCGUCAGCUCGUGUCGUGAGAUGUUUGGUUAAGUCCAUCAACGAGCGCAACCCUUGUCGUGUGUUGUAUUUUUCACACGAAACUGCCUCUGCAAGGAGGAGGAAGGGGGGGAUGAUGUCAGGUCAGUAUUUCCCUUACGUCCUGGGCUAGAAACGCGCUACAAUGGCCGGUACAACGGGCAGCGAAACAGCAAUGUGGAGCAAAUCCCAACAAAGCCGGUCCCAGUUCGGAUAAGAGGCUGAAACUCGCCUCUUUGAAGUCGGAAUCGCUAGUAAUCGCAGAUCAGCACGCUGCGGUGAAUACGUUCCCGGGUCUUGUACACACCGCCCGUCAAACCAUGAAAGUCAGGAGCACCCGACGUCCGAAUUUAUUUCGGCCUAAGGUGAGCUUGGUGAUUGGGGUUAAGUCGUAACAAGGUAACC
rnacentral:rRNA from 1 species